rnacentral:rRNA from 1 species
GUCGAGCGAAUUUGAUGGGAGCUUGCUCCCUGAUAGAUAACGGCGGACGGGUGAGUAACCCGUGGGUAACCUGGCUGGAAGAAUGGGAUAACUCCCGGAAACCNGGGCUAAAACCGGAUAACUUUUUUCCUCCCAUGGAGGGAAAUUGAAAGGGGGCUUUUAGCUACCACUUACAAAUGGACCCGCGGCGCAUUACCUAGUUGGGGAGGUAACGGCUCACCAAGGCGACAAUGCGUACCCAACUUGAAAGGGGGAUCGGCCACCCUGGGACUGAAACCCGGCCCAAACUCCUACGGGAGGCAGCAGUAGGGAAUCUUCCGCAAGGGACAAAAGUCUGACGGACCACCGCCGCGGGAGUGAUGAAGGUUUUCGGAUCGUAAAACUCUGUUGUUAGGGAAAAACAAGUAUCGUUCGAAUAGGGCGGUACCUUGACGGUACCUAACCAAAAAGCCCCGGCUAAUAACGUGCCACCACCCGCGGUAAUACUUAGGGGGCAAGCGUUGUCCGGAAUUAUUGGGCGUAAAGCGCGCGCAGGCGGUUUCUUAAUUCUGAUGUGAAAGCCCACGGCUCACCCGUGAAGGGUCAUUGGAAACUGGAAGACUUGAGUGCAAAAAAGAAGAGCGGAUUUCCACGUGUAGCGGUGAAAUGCGUAGAGAUGUGGAGGAACACCAUUGGCGAAGGCGGCUCUUUGGUCUGUAACUGACCGCUGAGGCGCGAAAGGCGUGGGGAAGCGAACAGGAUUAGAUACCCUGGUAGUCCACGCCGUAAACGAUGAGUGCUAAGUGUUAGAGGGUUUCUGCCCUUUAGUGCUGCAGCUAACGCAUUAAGCACUCCGCCUGGGGAGUACGGCCGCAAGGCUGAAACUCAAAGGAAUUGACGGGG